UAACCAGAUGGUGGUGAAAUAAAACUCAUGUACCAAAUUUUGGAUACUGAGCUGCUCAAGUUUUCCUAUCUUCUCCAGGUGGAAUGGGAGUGGGACUUCACCCCUUUCCAUGAGAGACAAGAUCUCACUCUGUUGCCUCAGCUGGAGUGCAGUGGCACAAUCAUGGCUCACUGCAGCCUUGAACUCCUGGGCAUAAGCAAUCCUCCCACUUCAGCCUCCCAAGUAACUAGGACUACAGAAACUGCAAUAAAGGCUCUUGCCCACAGUUCUCCCAGCCCUGUCUCGUGGCUGCCCCAUGACUCCUGUGUGGUCCCUGAUGGCAUGGCAAGCCCCCUCUCUUGGAAACUGUGAGUACUACACUGUUUUCUCAAUGGCAGUCAUUUC
rnacentral:lncRNA from 13 species